CCCGCAGCCGGCGCGGCGGGCGGCGCGCUGCGCGUGCGCGGGGAAGAGGCGGGGAGGGCCUGGGGCGGCGCGCGCAGCCCGCUCUCCUCGCGGCUCUGUGAGGGACCGGCGGCCCGAGUGUGUGUGUCACCCGUGUUCGUGAAGAACAACUCCCCACACUGAGCACCACGAGAAUUUCCUACCUUCACUGUUUGAGAAAAGGAUUAUGAAGAGAACAUGCUCUACGCCUGCCAUUCAGGUGUGUAGAUCAACAGCUUACGGACCUUCCAGGACCCGCAGCAGCCGCUGGCGCCAGGCAUUUCAUAGCGGAACAUGGAAGGAAUGAGAAACAACAGUAAAAAUGUGGGAUUGAUAGUGGAUAGAGGACAUUUUUCCGUCCUGAGCACAGAGGAGUAUUCACACAGGCUGCCCAGACUCUGCAGUCUCUCCUGGAGUUUAAGGCUGAUUAAAUAAAGCCCCUGUCAGACCUGGCGGGUGACCCUGCUGUGAGCCCUUCAACCCAAAUUAUCCUGUCAUGUGGGGCUGCUCAUUUGUAAUGGCUUGCAACCAGAGGAAGCAAAAUUGUCAUUGUUAGCAAUCCUUAAUUACUUAAAUGUUUAUAGAGAAGUUUAUCCAGAGCUGGUCUUUCUUUCCAGUUUCAGCCUCAUGUUAUAGUGAAUUAACACAAUUACACACAAAAGCACCCCGUUAACCGAAUCAGCCAGGUUACGUAUCACAGCUACUCGUAUUUAAAUGAAAGAUCUGAAGUGUUUUUAUCUCAGCUCUCCUUCUCUGAGGUGAAAGUUGGCCCUCACGCUGGGCUGCCACACUGCCUCAGGGAGCAUUGCCUGGUUCUGGCGCUUUCCGCAGUGUCCUGGGUUUUCUUGGCAAGUCUCUCAUCCAAGUCAUGACCAAUCCUUGGACCCUGCUUCAUUCCUCCAUUUCACAAACUGCUGCCCGUGGUGACAGAACAGCAGGUAAUGCUGCAUUGUAAUGAAGAAAUGCCAUAAACCCGCCUCUCGGGAAGCACGGAGCUGGUAUUCGCAUUCCUAUUCUGGCUACACAUUUCUCCUAGAAACUUAUUUUCACACCCUUUCCGUUGCCCCGGACUUUAUAUUGUCAACAUAAACUGUGGAUUUUUACUAAUGUAUUUAUCCUCUUAUGGUUGAAACACAAAAGGAAAUCACAGCACCAGCUUUAGAGAAAACAAAGAGCUCCUGCAUUGGAGCUCUGGAUGCAGGGGUUUCUGGGGAGAACAACCUGAAAUGUGAUUCAACAGCAGCCACGUGUCACUGAGCCUCUUCCGCAGCUUCUGGCGUUCUGAUCGAAAUUCUCUUGUUCCCAGGAAGCGGAAAAUUGAAUUGGGUAUCUGUGCAAAUGAGGAUCGAAUUGCACCUCUCCUCCGUAUGAAGAAAUUAUUUCACAGUAUGUUUGGGAUUGGAAGGGACCUCAAAAGAUCAUCCAGUGCAAUCCCCCCAUGGAGCAGGAACACCCAGAUGAGGUUACACAGGAAGGUGUCCAGGCGGGUUGGAAUGUCUGCAGAGAAGGAGACUCCACAACCCCCCUGGGCAGCCUGUUCAGUGCUCUGUCACCCUCACUGAGAAGAAGUUUUUUCUCAAAUUUAAGCGGAACCUCUUGUGUUCCAGCUUGAUCCCAUUACCCCUUGUCCUAUCAUUGUUUGCCACCGAGAAGAGCCUGGCUCCAUCCUCAUGGCACUCACCCUUUAUAUAUUUAUAAACAUUAAUGAGGUCCCCCCUUAGUCUCCUCUUCUCCAAACUAAAGAGCCCCAGCUCCCUCAGCCUUUCUUCAUAAGGGAGAUGCUCCACUCCCUUAAUCAUCUUCGUUGCCCUACGCUGGACCCUCUCCAGCAGUUCCCUGUCCUUCUGGAACUGAGGGGCCACAACUGGACACAAUAUUCCAGAUGUGGUCUCACCAGGGUGGAGUAGAGGGGAAGGAGGACCUCUCUCGAUCUACUAGCCACCCCCCUUCUAAUCCACCCCAGGAUGCCAUUGGCCUUCCUGGCCACAAGGGCCCAGUGCUGGCUCAUGGUCAUCCUGCUGUCCCCAGGACCCCCAGGUCCCUUUCCCCUACACUGCUCUCUAAUAUGUAAUUUCCCAACCUAUACUGGAACCUGGGGUUGUUCCUGCCCAGAUGCAGGACUCUACACUUUCCCUUGUUAAAUUUCAUCAGGUUAUUCCCCGCCCAACUCUCCAGCCUGUCCAGGUCUCUGGAUGGCAGCACAGCCUUCUGGCUUCGGGUCAGUUCUGUUCUCCUCGGUGGCAGGUAGAGGUGAAAUACUGUCACUCUUCAAUCUCUGUCUUUAAUACACGCCUGUAAUAAAAUGACUGGACAAUUCCCAGGUGUGGGUGCUGCUUGAGCCUUGAAAACGUGCGUGGGGACACGCUCACACUGUGUGAACGUGAGAACACCGAAUUCUCAGCUGCAUUCACUUGGGGUACAAUUCUCGGCGUCACCCAAGUGAUACAAGACAGGUGUUUUUUUCUGCACGAGGAGGACCAGUAAAUGCUCAUGUGCAUUUGGAGGUGUUACUUUUGCAUAUAUAUAUUUUAGGUGAAGCUGAUUAAACUGAUGUCCAUGAAAGAGUUGUGUGCAAGAAUUUUAAAUAGCUCCUGCUUUUUAAUAUUCACUUCCUCUUUGGUUUUAAUUAUUUUGUUCCUACAUUUUCCCUUUCAAUUUACUAAAAGUCUAGAAAUGUAAUUAGAGAGAGGCUGAACUCAGAGAAAGCUGCCAGCAUUUCUACAUCAUGAUUAAAUAUAUCAGCCAUCCCUUUAGUGAGAGAGUGAAAAACAGGAUUCUCAUAAUUAUCUCCCUGUUAUCCAGGAAAGAAUCUGCAACACGUACCGAUACAGAGUUAUUGAAAAUGCAGCACUAAUUAAAAUCUCAUACAGGCUCCUGAUGAUCAGGAGAGUAUGAAAACACAGUUAUUUAAUUAUUUCCUGUAUUUGCCAUCUUUGUUACCAAAACAAACAAAACCAUUCUAAACAAAACCCAUCUCCAAUCACUGGGGAGACUUAAUGAGGCUUUUAUAUAUGCAACAGUCACACAAACAUGGCAAGCUGCUCGAUUCACCUCUCCUUUCCCAGGGAGACAGCUACGGAACUCGCUUUCCAUCUGUGAUGCAAAACGAACGCUGUGGUAUAUUCAAAAUCAGUCGUGGAAUCGUUACGUGGUUUGAGGAUAUGGAUACUGUUCAUUAGUUUUAAGACCAGAAAAAGAAUCUUGAUAUGAUAGGCUUUUAUGGUUUCAUUGUGAAAUAGCAACAUUUGUGUCACAGCCAAUUAAAAAUCUAGUGUCUAAGAGGUUAUUGCUCCAGCCUGACCUCUGCGGGGUCUCUCCAUCGUCUAACCCAGGCCAAACCCCUCGUGCUCCCACCCAGCCCAGUGCGGAGCCCUCGUUGUUAUUUCCGAUCGCUCUGGUCCGAGGAGCUUUGGCAGCGCCAAGAAGCAGAGGACACGAGCGCUGAUCCGCGUUGUGAUGGAAGGAAACGCUCCGAGGUGCUGGCUGCUUUGAACCACGGGAGCUGAGCAUCCUCCGGGACCAGAGACUGGGAACUUUUGCACUCCUGUUCCUCAACGUUUAAUUUGCAACAGAAUAGCAAGUACUGAGCUGGACAGAGCCCAGUGCCCUCGCUUUUCCUUCACUAUAAACAAUCUCCAGUGCUGCAUGGAGUAGGAGGGUACGUCUACACCAGCUCCUGCUUUCCCACCUGCAGGUCCCAUGGCACCUCUUGUCCCUUGGAGACAAGAGGGGAAAGUCGCUCUAGCACAGCCACCCCGUACAUACAGCGUUAAAUUCAGUACAAAACAUCAUUCUUGUCAGAAUUUGCUUUCCUGACUUCAAAAUACUGUAAGAUAACUGAGUCAUUGUUGCUGUGAUUAAAAACCGCUUUUACUUGUGAGAAAACAAACACUGUUUAAAAAAAUCUUGACCUCCUUUGGAAAAACUCUGACUUGGUGAUUUUAAUUGCAGGGAAUCUGUUCAUAGCGCUAUUUUUACAGGUAUUGGAAAAGUAUCAAAGCUAAUUUUUUUAGAAGGGGAAAUUAUACUUUAAAAUGCACUAUUGUGAGAAAGUGGCUCCCUAAUGCCUUUGAGUUGGUGCUUUGUUUCUCGUUAGAAACGUCUCCUGUCUUCCCUGAUGAGCCUGCUCUUGUUUUCGGCGCUGGUUUGCUUUAAGAUGCUUUUGAUCCUGUAUUCAUUAAAACCUGAUCCUGCUGCUUCCCACCAGC